rnacentral:misc_RNA from 1 species
UUUCCGUUGGUGAACCAGCGGAAGGAUCAUUACAGGGAUCGUGCCCUUCGGGGUAGACCCCCCACCCUGUGUUAUUUACGUAUGUUGCUUUGGCGGGCCGCCUCCGGGCUCUCGGCUUCGGCCGAGGUGUGCCCGCCAGAGAGCCCACAACCCUGUGUUUAGUGUCGUCUGAGUAUUAUCAAAUAAGUUAAAACUUUCAACAACGGAUCUCUUGGUUCUG